GACGAACGCUGGCGGCGUGCCUAAUACAUGCAAGUUGAGCGCUGAAGGUUGGUACUUGUACCAACUGGAUGAGCAGCGAACGGGUGAGUAACGCGUGGGGAAUCUGCCUUUGAGCGGGGGACAACAUUUGGAAACGAAUGCUAAUACCGCAUAAAAACUUUAAACACAAGUUUUAAGUUUGAAAGAUGCAAUUGCAUCACUCAAAGAUGAUCCCGCGUUGUAUUAGCUAGUUGGUGAGGUAAAGGCUCACCAAGGCGAUGAUACAUAGCCGACCUGAGAGGGGGAUCGGCCACAUUGGGACUGAGACACGGCCCAAACGCCUACGGGAGGCAGCAGUAGGGAAUCUUCGGCAAUGGACGAAAGUCUGACCGAGCAACGCCGCGUGAGUGAAGAAGGGUUUCGGAUCGUAAAACUCUGUUGGUAGAGAAGAACGUUGGUGAGAGUGGAAAGCUCAUCAAGUGACGGUAACUACCCAGAAAGGGACGGCUAACUACGUG
rnacentral:rRNA from 1 species